UUUCCAGGUGCUCGUGUUGCCCGGGGUUCAAAAUGUUUGGGGUACCUAACCGAUUGCAAGGAUUAUUACAUGCAAGUAACUGAAAGGUUUUGUUGUUUGUGAUCAAUAGCCUAUGUCUCAUGACGAGACGCGGUUGCCUGCACCGUGCGUCAGGCUCAACAUUAACAGAUGUGUGCGUGUUGAUCAGUUACAUGUUGCGGGUAGUAUCAUAUGUACGUGAAAAGGAGGGGCUACCUUUUCACAGCAGGGUAAUGCAAGGUCCCUUGGCUCUACCGGAAGACUUCACCACUCUAUUGUAGCAUCAUAAGCGAGAGAUCUGAGCAACAAUGGACAAUGGACGACGGAAGGCGUGUCUGACGGAUGGGGGAGUGGUAUUUGCUGACGGAGCCACAAUCUGAUUGGCUGACGGAUCCGUUGUAGCCUGAAAAGUUAGUGUGCCUUGUUCACACUAGAUGCGUCCGUCGACGGAUGUGGACUUUUGAAAUAUCUGUUUUGUGUUCUGAAAUAAGGAGCAGUGUUGGGAACGUUACUUUAAAAAGUAAUUAGUUAUAGUUUGUCACUACUUGUUCCAAAAAGUAACUGAGUUAGUAACUGAAUUACUGAAUUACCGGGUAAAAUUACUAUUUGCGUUUCUGCAAAAAAGAAAGUUGCUAUAUGCCCAAGAAUUUGGAAUUUUCACUUUGGUUUUCACUUGGCCCUAAUGUGUGAAAUGGUUGAACUGCCCAUUCAAGGCCCUGAUAUACUUCCAACUGAAUUUUACUUCCAACUGCUUUGUUGAAAGGCUGUGGAACAUGUAAUGUUCUUAUUCAUUUAAAAAUAAAACAUGAAUAGAACUUGUGCUAGCUUCAGCUAGCUGUUUUUAAUAUUGAACUCCCUCGUCUACUUUCACUCUGUGGUACAACAUACAGUCAAUCCAGCAUCUGUUGAUGUUAGAGCUCCACCUAGUGUCAGCUCCUUUGUUAGCACUUAUCAUUGCAUCCCCCUUCCAAACAGGUGAGUAUGACAUUAAACACAACUCUUAAAUAACUGUCAGUCUGAGUAACAUUCAACAUGUCAAAAUUAGUGCAACAAACUACAUCCCUUAGCACUUAGCUUUUCACUGUCACCAAGUGUCCUAACAAAUGAAAUAAAUUCUAGCUUAUAGCCAAUAACAACAGAUAUGAUAAGUAUGAACAAUUAUUAUUAGUUUUUCUUUUUAAACAGUGCCAUUGUUAACAACCUUCUGUCACAGCUUCUGAGUCGAACAGUUGUAGACCUUCCAAGUGUCUCAGUCAUUGGGAAGGGUGAAGGAUGCUCACCGUGCUGAACAUCUGGUGUACCACCCUCUUGUUGUUCAGAUCCAGUCUCCUCGGCUUGAUGUUCAAUGCCCUGAGCCUUUAACAGACUCCUCCUGUUUCUCCUUAACACUUGUCCAUUCUCUGUCUUAACAAAGGGACCGGGGUCCUACUUCAUUGAGUGAGAACUAUUGCUUUCCUGUCCCAGCAGUCAGGGCCCUCAAUCUCCACAACAUCCUUUUCCUAAAGAGGUUCCACACGCCUUGCUGUUUUGUCAUAGUUCAUUUUCUGUCUGCUUGAGUCUCAUCCUUUUGUCAACCAGGUUGUUGUGUUUGUUAUCUUUGUUGUUUGGAAUGUGUUGGAGUGUGUUGCGACGCAUGAGUAGCUCAGCAGGGGAUGCUCCACACUCCAGAUUUGAAGCCCUGUAGCUUAGCAAAGCAAGAUGUCCCUCGUGGAUACGCUGAAGCAUAUCCUGGUGCAUGGAUUGUGGGAUAACAAUCCUGUUUUGUCCCAGCACCAGCCCAUUAGCCACACACAAGUCUGCAUGCACCAAGUAGAACCCCGGACAGACUCCUCUCGACCAGCCAUUUUGGAUGUGGUGGGACACUUUCUGCAGCAGAGGGUCUUUCACCGUCUCCAUUACAAUUUGCUGCAACAUGACAUCCGACGUUGGGAGAGAGGCAGUAACGAUGUUUACGUGUGUUUCAGCAUCCUCAGUAGUAGGGCUGACCAACAUGUCACUGCUUGGUGCUGGUGCUCGUGAUAAAGCAUCUUCCAGCACAAUAUAUUUUCCCGAUGUGUAAAUCAGCUCAAAGUCAUAACGCUGCAACGCUAACAUCAUGCGCUGAAUUCUGGGGACAUGUCAUUGAGGUUUUUUUUUCUGAUAGAGAUGAGCGGUUUGUGAUCAGUCUCUGCCGUAAAGGUUGGUAAUCCAUACACAUAACUGUGAAACUUUCCGCAGCCAAACACUAGACCCAAAGUCUCUUUUUCUAUCUGAGCAAAGCGUUGCUCGGUCUCUGACAUUGAUCUAGACGCAUAUGCUACAGGUUGCCAUUUGUCUCCGUUCAUUUGGAGCAGCGCAGCUCCCAAGCCAUCUUUUGAGGCGUCGGUGGAGAUUUUUGUUGGUUUUGAUUAGGGUGACCAUACGUCCGUAUUUCCCGGGACAUGUCCGUAUUUCAUGUCCUGUCCCGGGUGUCCCGGGUUAUUUUUAGAAAGUGAGGAAAUGUCCUGGUUUUUAAAAUUACCUUUUUUGGACCAUUACAUUUACAUGCACUAGGGCACUGCCCACGGCGCUGCGUGCGACGUAGCCUAAUCCCCGCCCCUAUGCUGUCAGCCCUAUUAAUUAGAACGUAGACAACGUGACUGUCAGUCAUACGCAAGCAACAUGCCGAAGCGCAAGUGCUCGUUUAGCGACGAAUUACUAAAGAGUUUCCCGGCUUUCAGACCGGGUCGAGACAAAUGGAAAGCCUUGUGCACAGUGUGCAAAGCAGGCACAUAUGUCUCGGUGUCCAAUGGAGGUGCAAGAGAUCUGAAAAUCCACCUGGACACCGAGAAGCACAAAACAGCUGUCCGAGGCGAGGGUAGUGCUAGCUCGAACACAGUACUUUCUCAGACCAGGGAACGAGGAUGCAGUGAAUGCAGCGGAG
ensembl:lncRNA